AGAGUUUGAUCAUGGCUCAGGACGAACGCUGGCGGCGUGCUUAACACAUGCAAGUCACGGGGGCUCGCAAGGGCAACCGGCGAACGGGUGCGUAACACGUGAGCAAUCUGCCGAUUUCUGGGGGAUAGCCGGCCCAACGGCCGGGUAAUACCGCAUACGCUCUUUUGGUGGAGUCACCAGGAGAGGAAACCUCCGGGGGAAAUCGAGGAGCUCGCGGCCUAUCAGCUAGUUGGCGGGGUAAUGGCCCACCAAGGCGACGACGGGUAGCUGGUCUGAGAGGAUGGCCAGCCACAUUGGGACUGAGAGACGGCCCAGACUCCUACGGGAGGCAGCAGUGGGGAAUCUUGCGCAAUGGCCGAAAGGCUGACGCAGCGACGCCGCGUGGGGGAUGAAGGUUUUCGGAUCGUAAACCCCUGUUGCCCGGGACGAAACCGCUUUUUCGAGAGCGUUGACGGUACCGGGUGAGGAAGCACCGGCUAACUCCGUGCCAGCCGCCGCGGUAAUAC
rnacentral:rRNA from 1 species